rnacentral:rRNA from 1 species
GGCUCAGGACGAACGCUGGCGGCGUGCCUAACACAUGCAAGUCAAGGGUAGCAAUACCCUGGCGCACGGGUGAGUAACACGUAGGUAAUCUGCCUCUAUCUCUGUGAUAACUCCGGGAAACUGGUGAUAAACACAGAUGAGGACGAAAGUUCAAAGCUUCGGCGGAUAGAGAUGAGCCUGCGUCUGAUUAGCUAGUUGGUGGGGUAAAAGCUUACCAAGGCGACGAUCAGUAGCUGGUCUGAGAGGACGAUCAGCCACACUGGAACUGAGACACGGUCCAGACUCCUACGGGAGGCAGCAGUGAGGAAUAUUGGUCAAUGGGGGAAACCCUGAACCAGCGACGCCGCGUGCGGGAUGAAGGGGCUUUGCCCUAUAAACCGCUGUCGGAUGGGAAGAAAAGCAGGGUCGCCCUGCUGGGACUGUACCAUUAAAGGAAGGGUCGGCUAACUACGUGCCAGCAGCCGCGGUAAUACGUAGGACCCGAGCGUUGUCCGGAUUUACUGGGUAUAAAGGGUGCGCAGGCGGAUUUGUGCGUCUAGGGUUAAAUACCUCGGCUCAACCGAGGAGCUGCCCUGGAUACGGCAAGUCUUGAGUACGAGAGAGGGUGGUGGAAUUCCUGGUGUAGCGGUGAAAUGCGUAGAUAUCAGGAGGAACACCAGUGGCGAAGGCGGCCACCUGGCUCGUUACUGACGCUCAGGCACGAAAGCGUGGGGAGCAAACAGGAUUAGAUACCCUGGUAGUCCACGCCCUAAACGAUGUAUGCUUGGUGUUGGGAGCUUGUCUCUCAGUGCCGGAGGAAACCCAUUAAGCAUACCACCUGGGGAGUACGAUCGCAA